AACCAAACCGUGGCCAAGUCCUUUGGGCUUGAAUCUUCACCAGCUAGACUCACUUGCUCCCUCCACUCUGACUUCAAAGACUUCGCCGGAAAAUGCUCCGAUGCUGCCAAAGUCGCCGGUUUUGCUCUCGCCACCUCUGCUCUCGUCGUCUCGGUAUAACUUCAAUUUCUCAUUAAACAUAUAAACUAAAAACUUAUAGGCCAUUGUGUUUAUUGAAGAACCAAGUUAGGAAUCGUUAUCUAAGACACAUCCAUUUUUUGACUGCCGAUAAAUUUUGAAUGAAAAACUUGUGAAAGAUAGACAAAUCCACUCAUUACCAUUUCUUUUUUUAAUAGGAGCAUUACAAUACUUGUAAAUUUAGUUGCAUAUUGUUAAUUAGUCUUUUAUUCUUGUUCUGUAAAUAAAUAUUUGGGAAAAAUGAAGGGGGCAAGUGCAGAGGGAGCACCAAAGAGGCUAACGUACGACGAGAUACAGAGCAAGACUUACAUGGAGGUUAAGGGGACUGGUAC
rnacentral:lncRNA from 1 species